AGCCAGCAGCAGCCCCUGUCACAUUCCUGCAGCCGUGGCUCUGAAAUCCUCUGAAGACAGAGAUUAAAGGUUUGACGCAAGGAGUCAAAAGCUGGCUUGGAUGUAAAUCCCAAGCAGGGGCAUUCCUGAUUUACAGCAGAUUUACAUCCCUUCUUCUCCAUGGGGAUUUUGCAAACCCCUCUAGGUCUGCUGCUUGCUCAUCCCCUAAUUUGACUUUCCCAGAAAUGGUUGGGGUAACUCUUAGUGUGGGAAGAACUGGAAAUAGCAGUUGUCAUUCCCAGGUCCUGGCAGUGAUUUCAGCAGCAGAGCCGAGGUUUUCCUGCUGUUUGAUUUAAUUAAUUCCUCUUUUUGUUUUAAGCAGAUAGCAACUGGAGGUGUGGCACUGCCAGGAGGGGUUGCAACAGCAGAUUCCGCAUUGCCAGUGCUGCCUGUCCCAAAUGCCAUCAGACAAAAAGCCACUUUAGGCUACGCUGGAUUCAUCCCCCGAGCUGCUGAAAACUUUGGCAUGACCUACAUUGCAUCUGUGAAGAAAGCCAUGAAUCAAUUUGAUCGAGAACAGCUUUUGCAGAGAAAUCCACCUUAUACACUGGGCACAAGAUUCCCCCGGACACACUGGCCAGACACCAAAAUUUACAGCCGUGCUGGACUCAUACCUGACUACAUGGGCUUUGUACCAUGCCUGCAGGAACUGUGUGGGCUCACUUACGGGAACGGCACGCGGGAAUCGUACCGGUGCGAACAGAGGAGACGGGGACGUGCACUGUGAA